UUCGUUAGUGCAGAAGACAGACU
rnacentral:miRNA from 1 species